rnacentral:rRNA from 1 species
UACGGGGGGAGCAAGCGUUGUUCGGAUUUACUGGGCGUAAAGGGCGCGUAGGCGGUCGUGACAAGUCACUUGUGAAAUCUCCGGGCUUAACUCGGAAAGGUCAAGUGAUACUGUCGGACUAGAGUACAGAAGGGGCAACUGGAAUUCUCGGUGUAGCGGUGAAAUGCGUAGAUAUCGGAAGAACACCAGUGGCGAAGGCGGCUCACUGGUCCGGUACUGACGCUGAUGUGCGAAAGCGUGGGGAGCAAACAGG